GGGGGCAUAGGGGAUCACGGGUCUCUACUUGCCAUCUCACCACCUUGGGCCCUCUCUAAUGGUCCUAAACAUCCUAGGCCCUUUCCAACAGCGCUCCCUACCUCAGGCCCUAUCAAGUGGCCCUCAAUUCCCACCUCUUUGCCAUGUCACUUGCUCACCUAAGUGGCCACAGGAGUACCCAAGCUUCCAUUUGAUACUCUGCUUCUUUCCUCCUCACAAAAGGUACUGUGUUGUUAUGAGUUUUCUGGAAGUGUGCUGCAACAUUGUUUUAAUGCAUCUCUGUAGUUCUCUCUAUGUAUUCCUCUUUCUGCAUUUCCUGUCUCUACUCGUACUGCGCUGGGGAAAUAGCUGACUGAGGUGCCAGAUGACCAACAGGGUGUUUGAUCAAACUUGUGGUGUGUGAUGAAUCCAUGAGAUGAUUUCAUCUCUCCUGCUGAUGCCACAAGCUUUAUUGUUGGCACCUCAAAAGCUCACCUUUCAGUGCAAUUACAUAGGCUAUCUGUAUCAUUCCUUGCUACAAUUCUUUCCUUUUUUACAUUGUAUUGUCUGGUGUCUGAGGAUACACAACAGCAGAGAUUAAGUAAAAACGCCAACGAUUCUGCACCAAAGAAAAGGCAGAAUAUCAUUAUCCAAGAAACAAUGGAGUCUUGUGAACUGCACUGAAUCAACUCCACACGGAGACCUGGACCAAAUAGGCAGCACUUCAACAACAUUGUGCUUUACAGUUGGAACAAGUAGGAAGUGGUCCAUUAAGACCAGGAAGCCAUCUUACACCGCUAAUCCCACACAAACCUACAGGGCUGAUCUGACUAUCCUUAUACUAAAAUAAAAUUUCACUAAAAUUA